AGCGGCGGACGGGUGAGUAACGCGUGGGUAACCUGCCUCAUACAGGGGGAUAACAGUUGGAAACGGCUGCUAAUACCGCAUAGCGCACAGUACCGCAUGGUACCGUGUGAAAAACUCCGGUGGUAUGAGAUGGACCCGCGUCUGAUUAGCUAGUUGGUGGGGUAACGGCCUACCAAGGCGACGAUCAGUAGCCGACCUGAGAGGGUGACCGGCCACAUUGGGACUGAGACACGGCCCAA
rnacentral:rRNA from 1 species